rnacentral:rRNA from 1 species
UACGUAGGGGGCAAGCGUUGUCCGGAAUCAUUGGGCGUAAAGAGCGCGUAGGCGGCCCGGUAAGUCCGCUGUGAAAGUCAAAGGCUCAACCUUUGAAUGUCAGCGGAUACUGCCGGGCUAGAGUCCGGAAGAGGCGAGUGGAACUCCUGGUGUAGCGGUGGAAUGCGCAGAUAUCAGGAGGAACACCGAUGGCGAAGGCAGCUCACUGGGACGGUACUGACGCUGAGACGCGAAAGCGUGGGGAGCAAACAGG